ACGAACAACCCUUGCUAAGAGGUGAGACGUGGAUUUUGGUUCGCCAAUUGUGUCAAAGUUUGUGUUUUUGUUCUGGGUUUUUAUGGGUGGGAUGAGAUUUUUCUGUUUUAGAACACUCUGUUUGGUUUCUGGGAAACGAUGGGAAAGGGAAAGGAAAAGGGGAAUUUGGAAAGAACAUUCAACCACAAUAAUGUUACUUGACUCAAAGUUUUAAACUUUCUUUUUUUUUUCGUUCAUUUUGUCUAACACGCCAAGUGGGUUUCUGGAUUUGUUUUGUUGGCUUUAAAUCAUUUUUUUUUUAAUUUUGCUUUCUUCUGCUUUCUGUGUUUUCUUCAUGGAUUUGGGUCUUCAUUCGCAAUUUUGCUUUCAACGGAUUUGAUCUGAUUUCCAGAGUAAUUUGUCCUUUAAAACAUAAAUUUUGCUUUAAAAAUUAUAAAAUUCCUGCCUUACAAUUUUUUAUUUAAUGAUAAAAUUUUAAUUUUUUAUCAUAUUUUUGGACCGAGUAUUUUGAUUUCUUCAAUCCGUGCUGAGGGUCUUAGAUCUUUUAAAUUUAUUUUGGUGGAACAGAAUUUCCUGCAAAAGUGUCUGAACUGAUUUUUAUUUUCUUUUUAAACUCUCUUACAUGGAUCCCCUAUGUCAGGGUUUUGUAAUGUUUUUACUUUUUUUUUUAAUUAUUAGAUUUUCCAUAUCUUUUCGUCUUUAAAAUGAAAUUUUUUAUCUUUGUUUCUGAAAUUAACAGAAAUCAUGAAGUAAAAAUUUGUUAGGCAUAUGCAUUUUUUUUUUAAUGUUGUACCUCAAACUGUCAACAUGACAUCAAGUCUCGUUUUUUACGCUUUUCUACUUCUCUUUUUAUUUUUAAUUUUGGUUUUUUAUUUAUUAUGCCCACAAUUUGUAUUAUUUUCUCCUUUUAUUUGAUUCUAUAUUUUUCUGGUUAUUUUCUGUUCUACACUUGUUGGUUUGUUUAGAUCAUGACGAUCUGAUUAUGAAUUCUGCUCUUUGCUCGAAGUUUUUGUUUCUGUAUCUGUGGAUUUUAUGUGGGUUGAAUUGGGCUGCAAGGAAUAGUGGCUUCAGACUGAUGAUCAGAUGUCUCAGUUCUGAUUGGAAGUUUUGCAAAUUCCAAUUUCAUAGUGCCAAUUCAUUACCAGAAGCAAGAACUUUGGUUGUUGCAGGCAACAAAGCAGUUGCCUUUGAGAUAAUGUUCUUCUGACUGGGUUCUGUGAGCUCAAGUGAUUGGCAAGAUUUGCAUUUCAAAAUUAGAGCGUGAAAUGCUGAUGUUUCUCUGCGUGUGAUGUGUCCUUCUUGGUGUUAUCUCUGAGAUAUGGUGUUGCAGAAAAGGUUAGACUACGGAUUCAAUGGCUAUCAGGUUCCUCCGACACCCCGAGCUACCAGAUCAGCAAGGAGGAGAGGCUCCUUUAAGAAGAAAGUUGGAGAGAACCAGAUGUGUGCAUUUGACUUGUUGGCCAUUGUAGCUGGAAACUUAUUGCUCGACAAAGAAAGCCCUCCCAGUUCUAGUGAUACUUCAGCUGAUAAAGAUCACUGUAUGGUUGUCAAUGAUAAUGUUAAAAAUGAAUGGCAAUAUGAUGAAAAAAAUAUGAAAAUUCAAGUUCAUGAUCAAGGAAGCCCUGCUAGGAGCUUCUUUGUUUCAGAGCUUGUCUCACUAGGUAAUGAACGAAAUCAUUGUUCCAAAGAAUCAUUGUAUGCGCAGAAUGGUCUCAAUUCAGGAUUAGGUUGUACGGUAGCUACUUCUGAGUGUGCAGAGAGGAUUGAUUCUGAGAUGUUGGUGAACAGCAAAAGCAAGAAUGAAAUAGGAACUUUUGCUGGUAAGUUACACGUAGGCUCCUCUGGGCAUUGGGAGUUUGAUGACUGUAAACUAGAGCACGAAACUGGAAAAGUAAUAAAUGAUGAGCCCGAUAAAUCUGGGAAGGUACAAUGUGGCACUGUGGCUAACGUGUGCAGCUCUGAGGAUCCAGUGGUCUGGGAUGGAAAACCUCAUGCACUUGUCAGUUCAGACAGCAGUGCCAAGGUGCCUUUGUGUGGGAACAACAUUUCCCAUAGUUCUUACCCCUCAAAUGGGGAUGAUGUAAGUGUAGAUGGUAGAGAUGAUGACGAAAACUCCUCUGGGUGUACUUACCCUAGCAUCACAAAAGAAUUCUUUAGGCCAGCUCCACGUGUUGGAGAUCGAAGAAUAAGGAAAGUUUUGGCUUCUAAAUACUGGAAAGUAGCUCCAAAAUUGAAGGAUUGCGAACUUUCCAAAGUUGCUUGUUUAGAUGGGGGAAUGAGGCCUCUUUAUCGCAAGCGGAAAAUAUGUAACAGUCAUGAAAGAUAUCAACAUGACACUCUUUAUAAGAGGAGGAAGUUUUCUGAUCAUAGCUUAGUUGUGACUUCUGAUGGAGGGUUCAGCAGUGAGAGUGUUUGUAAUUCUCCAGAAAAUGGCAUAAAUGUAGGCAAGAAUGCUCCUACUACAAUGUUUCAUGGAGGUCUUUUUCUAGCUUAUUACUUUGAUUUCUCCUAUAUUUUCAUGAUGUUCCAGGUUUCUGCUUGUUGAUUUUGCUAAAUGGUUUUACAUAUUGUUUUCAGCAAAUGGGGUAUCAAUGUCAUCAUCAAUUAUAGGUCAUCAAGCUUCUUUCCAUUCCAAGGAUUCUCAUGUGAAGUUCAGCAUUAAGUCCUUCAGGAUACCAGAGAUUUUUAUUGAGGUCCCUGAAACUGCAACUGUUGGUUCACUGAAGGUACAAAUGUCCAGUCUUCGUGUUUUCAUUUCAUAUAUAUUUAGGAAACCUCAUCCUAGACAGCAGUAUCCUUAGAUUGUUUACUCUCUAACAGUUUCUUUUCUAUUUUUCCAUUGAUAGAUUUUAUUGCUUACCAUUUACAUUUGCAUGUGUCUUUUACAUGUUGAAUGCAUGAAGUAAAUAGGUCAUUAGGCAUUGAAUUUUUAAUAAUAGUUUUCUUUGGCAAGUUGCCGCCAAGGGUCAGUGGUUACUUAAUUCCUGAUUUUUGUACUAUGGUGUUAUGUGACUUUCUAUAGAGGACAGUUAUGGAGGCUGUGACAGCUAUACUUGGAGGUGGUUUACGUGUUGGAGUGCUUCGUCAUGGAAAGAAGGUUAGGGAUGAUAACAGAACCUUAUUACAGACUGGUAUCAGUUCCAAAGAGAACCUUGAUACCUUGGGUUUCACAUUGGAACCUAGUCCCGUGCAAGCUCCUCCAACUGUGUGCACUGAAGAUCCUCCCAUUCCAUUACCAUGUGACAGCACUCAACUCCUACCAAGGUCCCCAGCUGCUCCUGUUUUAGAUUUGGGGAUUUCUGAUGCCUCACCUGGCCCUCCUCAACUGACUAGUUCAGGCAAUAACAUUGACAGUAAUCACGAAUCAGGUUCCUCUCAUACUGACAAAUUAGCCGACAAAACACUGUCAGAUUCCAGAGCUCUGGUUCCAGUUCCACCUGUUAGUGUUGAGGCACUUGCUGUGGUUCCUGUUAACCAGAAAGCUAGGCGAUCUGAACUUGUACAGCGUCGAACCAGGAGACCGUUCUCUGUCUUAGAAGUAGAAGCACUAGUGCAGGCAGUUGAGGAGCUUGGAACUGGAAGGUGGCGUGAUGUUAAGUUGCGAUCUUUUGAAAAUGCUGACCAUCGAACUUAUGUGGACUUGAAGGAUAAAUGGAAGACAUUGGUUCACACGGCUAAGAUUGCCCCUCAGCAAAGAAGGGGUGAGCCAGUGCCCCAGGAACUCUUGGAUAGGGUCCUGGCUGCUCAUGCAUACUGGUCUCAACAUCAGGCUAAGCAACAUGGCAAGAAUCAGGCUGCAGUUCUAAAGAUAACAGAGACACACGGUGGUAGAAAUGGAGUUGAAGGUGAAAUUCGCUUGUUCUGACGUAAAAAAGCAAGAAAAUUGUUGACCGGAACAGGGAAGAAGAAACUUGUACAAAUGAUUUAAAUCUCUGUAAUAUUUUCUCACACUCACAUGAUUCAUUGC
rnacentral:misc_RNA from 1 species